rnacentral:lncRNA from 1 species
ACACAUAACACAUAACCCUAUAAGUCUAUACAGCACAUAAGACUUAGUAUUAUGUCAAACUAUUUCAGUCUGACUUAAAAUUAACACCAUUUUAUCAUCCCGACGGUCUAGUCGAAUAAUACCCGAGUUUAAGUUCAGUUAAACUCUGCCUAGCCCUUAACAAUUAUCACAGAUAAUUUCUUAUCCGUCAAAACAUUUUUCCUAGGCUCGUAAUAAUUUUCAAAUAAUUAUUACCAUUUAUCAUGAUUUUCCAAUCAUUAAUACCGUAUUUAAAUGAAUUAAAU